CAAUGGGCGCAGGCCUGACCCAGCAACGCCGCGUGAGGGAUGAAGGCCUUCGGGUCGUAAACCUCUGUCGGGAGGGAAGAACGGCCCCCGGACGAACAGCCCGGGGGAUUGACGGUACCUCCAAAGGAAGCGCCGGCUAACUCCGUGCCAGCAGCCGCGGUAAUACGGAGGGCGCAAGCGUUGUUCGGAAUCACUGGGCGUAAAGCGCGUGUAGGCGGUCUGGAAAGUCGGUUGUGAAAUCCCGGGGCUCAACCCCGGAACUGCAGUCGAAACUCCCAGGCUAGAGUCCCGGAGAGGAUGGCGGAAUUCCCGGUGUAGAGGUGAAAUUCGUAGAUAUCGGGAGGAACACCAGUGGCGAAGGCGGCCAUCUGGACGGUGACUGACGCUGAGACGCGAAAGCGUGGGGAGCAUACAGGAUUAGAUACCCUGGUAGUCCACGCCGUAAACGUUGGGUGCUAGGCGUCGCGGGUAUUGACCCCUGCGGUGCCGAAGCUAACGCAUUAAGCACCCCGCCUGGGGAGUACGGUCGCAAGACUA
rnacentral:rRNA from 1 species